AUGCAUCUGUUUGACAGACCUGGAGCACACGGCAGUUGCUUCUUUGGUUCUUUCUGAGAUGCUACAGUAAGGGGUUCCUUGCGCUUUCUACCUGUCUGAUCUUGUGGCAGCCUAGAUUGAAUAAAGGAACACAAAA
rnacentral:snoRNA from 1 species